rnacentral:rRNA from 1 species
UGCAAGUCGAGCGGAUGAGAAGAGCUUGCUCUUCGAUUCAGCGGCGGACGGGUGAGUAAUACCUAGGAAUCUGCCUGGUAGUGGGGGACAACGUUUCGAAAGGAACGCUAAUACCGCAUACGCCCUACGGGGGAAAGCAGGGGACCUUCGGGCCUUGCGCUAUCAGAUGAGCCUAGGUCGGAUUAGCUAGUUGGUGAGGUAAUGGCUCACCAAGGCGACGAUCCGUAACUGGUCUGAGAGGAUGAUCAGUCACACUGGAACUGAGACACGGUCCAGACUCCUACGGGAGGCAGCAGUGGGGAAUAUUGGACAAUGGGCGAAAGCCUGAUCCAGCCAUGCCGCGUGUGUGAAGAAGGUCUUCGGAUUGUAAAGCACUUUAAGUUGGGAGGAAGGGCAUUAACCUAAUACGUUAGUGUUUUGACGUUACCGACAGAAUAAGCACCGGCUAACUCUGUGCCAGCAGCCGCGGUAAUACAGAGGGUGCAAGCGUUAAUCGGAAUUACUGGGCGUAAAGCGCGCGUAGGUGGUUCGUUAAGUUGGAUGUGAAAUCCCCGGGCUCAACCUGGGAACUGCAUCCAAAACUGGCGAGCUAGAGUAGGGCAGAGGGUGGUGGAAUUUCCUGUGUAGCGGUGAAAUGCGUAGAUAUAGGAAGGAACACCAGUGGCGAAGGCGACCUGGGCUCAUACUGACACUGAGGUGCGAAAGCGUGGGGAGCAAACAGGAUUAGAUACCCUGGUAGUCCACGCCGUAAACGAUGUCAACUAGCCGUUGGAAUCCUUGAGAUUUUAGUGGCGCAGCUAACGCAUUAAGUUGACCGCCUGGGGAGUACGGCCGCAAGGUU